UUUGGGCCAGAGGGACACUGUAGCGUCUGCCUACACUCUUCAAAAGAGGAACAAGAACAUAAAAAGUCAAAAUUUAAACUUCAAGUAUUUAUUAAAAUAUAAUGAAGUCUCACUUCUUCUCUGGUAUCUCUAGCUGAACUGCAGACAUUUUUCAAUGAAUGAAUGAAACCUUUAUUGCCCCUAGAGGAAUCUGCCUUGCACAGAGAGCAUAAAACACACUAUACAAACAAACAUUUAGAGAACAACAAGAACACAGUAAAGAAUCACAUGAUUAACUGAGUGAUUUCAGUAGCAAGUGAAAUAAAGUGCAGAGUGCCGAGUUCAUCCUGUAUAAUCGAAGCUUAUUAAGCAGCUGAAUACUGUGUGGUACUAAAGAUGUAAUGCCUCUUUUAGUCCUCAUCCGGGGCAUUCUGUACCUGCACCCUGAAGUCAAGAGUUCAUACUACGAGCAAAGGGGAUGCAGAGGGUCAGCUGUAAUCUUGAUUCGUUGCUUUUGAGGAUUUUUCUUUUAUUUAUUUGUUUAUUUUGACAGAAACAGUGUACAGCCAAUUAGCAUAUUCUUUACACUUACGCAUUUAACUUGUCUGCAAUCACUUGCCAAGCUGCUCAUCUGGCCUUUGCUGAUGCCGAGGUGUUUGAUUUGGCUGUUAAAUGAAGUUUUCAUAUUCGUCAAUGAUGGUUUGCGGUUCAAGUUGUGUAAAAAAUGUCGCGCUUUCCUUUAAAUUCUCCAUUGAUAAUCACAGAGAGAAUCAGGAUUUGUGAUCCACGUUGCUCCCUUUUCAUGUAGGACGGGCACGCGCAAGUAUCCUGAUCACUGUGGUUCCAAUUAACGAUACUGAAAUCUGUUUUGUAUUCUUUUAAGGGCGAAAUGUUAAUUUGUAAAUAGCAAUUAUCUGUAUAUACUAACAUGAAAUCUGUUUGGUGUUGUUGAAGUCAUUGAAUAUUGGUUUGUUGAAAUACAUUCACUUUGACCAAUUUAA